UUUGUUCAACCUGAUGGAGAAACUGGCAUCCAGAGAAGUGAUGUGUUUUGCCACGUCAAGCUCUCUUCCCUCUUCAUCCCAACUUCUUGGCUUCUCUGCCUUUUUUCAUGUGUCAGCAAAAAUCCCACCUUCUUCAAGAGGACUUUUCCAGACCUUCAUUUCAGUACUAAAGAAAAAAAAGUAGCAGCUAAUAAAUAGAUUGAAACUCUUCAAAGACUAUUUAAAGGGAGAAAAAUCACUACUGUUGGCCAAGAACAAGUUCUGAAAUAGCUUUGUUACCUGAGAAAAAGGUCAUCAGGUCAUCUAUGCCUUCAUCUCAGUCAAAAUCCUGGCAGAUUUUGUUUCCUGACCUCCAGGACACCCUCCUUCCUUUUUUCGAUGAGG
rnacentral:lncRNA from 1 species